rnacentral:rRNA from 1 species
AUUGAACGCUGGCGGCAGGCCUAACACAUGCAAGUCGAACGAGUGGCGGACGGGUGAGUAAUGUCUGGGAAACUGCCCGAUGGAGGGGGAUAACUACUGGAAACGGUAGCUAAUACCGCAUACCAUCGGAUGUGCCCAGAUGGGAUUAGCUAGUAGGUGGGGUAACGGCUCACCUAGGCGACGAUCCCUAGCGGGUCUGAGAGGAGGACCAGCCAAUCUGGAACUGAGCCACGGUCCAGACUCCGACGGGAGUCAGCGUGGGGGAAUAUUGCACAAGGGGCGCAGGCCUGAUGCAGCACUGCCGCGUGUAUGAAGAAGGCCGUCGGGUGGUAAAGUACGUUCAGCGGGGAGGCGUUACCCGCAGAGGAAGCACCGGCUAACUCCGUGCCAGCAGCCGCGGUAAUUC